rnacentral:rRNA from 1 species
GUCGGAUUAGCUAGUUGGUGAGGUAAAGGCUCACCAAGGCGAUGAUCCGUAGCUGGUUUGAGAGAAUGACCAGCCACACUGGAACUGAGACACGGUCCAGACUCCUACGGGAGGCAGCAGUGGGGAAUAUUGGACAAUGGGGGCAACCCUGAUCCAGCGAUGCCGCGUGUGUGAAGAAGGCCUGAGGGUUGUAAAGCACUUUUAGUUGGGGAAGAAGGGCAUAGGAUUAAUACCCUUAUGUUUUGACGUUACCCAAAGAAUAAGCACCGGCAAACUCUGUGCCAGCAGCCGCGGUAAUACAGAGGGUGCGAGCGUUAGUCGGAAUUAUUGGGCGUAAAGGGCGCGUAGGCGGAUAAUUAAGUGGGAUGUGAAAGCCCCGGGCUCAACCUGGGAACGGCAUUCCAAACUGGUUAUCUAGAGUAUAGUAGAGGUGAGUGGAAUUUCUGGUGUAGCAGUGAAAUGCGUAGAGAUCAGAAGGAACACCAGUGGCGAAGGCGGCUCACUGG